rnacentral:rRNA from 1 species
GGGCCCGCACAAGCGGUGGAGCAUGUGGUUUAAUUCGAUGAUACGCGAGGAACCUUACCAGGGCUUAAAUGGGAAAUGACAGGGGCAGAGACGCCCCCUUCUUCGGACAUUUUUCAAGGUGCUGCAUGGUUGUCGUCAGCUCGUGCCGUGAGGUGUCAGGUUAAGUCCUAUAACGAGCGCAACCCCUACCGUUAGUUGCCAGCGUGUAAUGACGGGGACUCUAACGGAACUGCCGGUGCAAACCGUGAGGAAGGUGGGGACGACGUCAAAUCAUCACGGCCCUUACGUCCUGGGCCACACACGUGCUACAAUGGUAGGUACAGAGGGAAGCCACCCCGCGAGGGGGAGCGGAUCUACAAAACCUAUCUCAGUUCGGAUCGGAGUCUGCAACUCGACUCCGUGAAGCUGGAAUC